rnacentral:rRNA from 1 species
AGACCCGAAACCCGGUGAUCUAGCCAUGGGCAGGUUGAAGGUUGGGUAACACUAACUGGAGGACCGAACCGACUAAUGUUGAAAAAUUAGCGGAUGACCUGUGGCUGGGGGUGAAAGGCCAAUCAAACCGGGAGAUAGCUGGUUCUCCCCGAAAGCUAUUUAGGUAGCGCCUCGUGAAUUCAUCUCCGGGGGUAGAGCACUGUUUCGGCUAGGGGGCCAUCCCGGCUUACCAACCCGAUGCAAACUGCGAAUACCGGAGAAUGUUAUCACGGGAGACACACGGCGGGUGCUAACGUCCGUCGUGAAGAGGGAAACAACCCAGACCGCCAGCUAAGGUCCCAAAGUCAUGGUUAAGUGGGAAACGAUGUGGGAAGGCCCAGACAGCCAGGAUGUUGGCUUAGAAGCAGCCAUCAUUUAAAGAAAGCGUAAUAGCUCACUGGUCGAGUCGGCCUGCGCGGAAGAUGUAACGGGGCUAAACCAUGCACCGAAGCUGCGGCAGCGAACGUAUCACCCAAGACAACUUUACGGAGUUGACGAUUGACGGAGCGAAGCGACGUCAAAGCGUUCAUUAAAGUCGAGUUGGCUUAGGGAUACGUUCGUUGGGUAGGGGAGCGUUCUGUAAGCCUGUGAAGGUGUGUCGUGAGGCAUGCUGGAGGUAUCAGAAGUGCGAAUGCUGACAUAAGUAACGAUAAAGCGGGUGAAAAGCCCGCUCGCCGGAAGACCAAGGGUUCCUGUCCAACGUUAAUCGGGGCAGGGUGAGUCGACCCCUAAGGCGAGGCCGAAAGGCGUAGUCGAUGGGAAACGGGUUAAUAUUCCCGUACUUGGUGUUACUGCGAAGGGGGGACGGAGAAGGCUAUGUUGGCCGGGCGACGGUUGUCCCGGUUUAAGCGUGUAGGUGUGUGUUCCAGGUAAAUCCGGUUCACUUUAACACUGAGGCGUGACGACGAGGCACUACGGUGCUGAAGCAACAAAUGCCCUGCUUCCAGGAAAAGCCUCUAAGCAUCAGGUAACACGAAAUCGUACCCCAAACCGACACAGGUGGUCAGGUAGAGAAUACCAAGGCGCUUGAGAGAACUCGGGUGAAGGAACUAGGCAAAAUGGUGCCGUAACUUCGGGAGAAGGCACGCUGACACGUAGGUGAAGU